UACAGAGGGGGCAAGCGUUGUUCGGAAUUACUGGGCGUAAAGGGCGCGUAGGCGGCCUUCUAAGUCGGACGUGAAAUCCCCGGGCUCAACCCGGGAACUGCGUCCGAGACUGGAAGGCUCGAAUCCGGGAGAGGGAUGUGGAAUUCCAGGUGUAGCGGUGAAAUGCGUAGAUAUCAGGAGGAACACCAAUUGCGAAGGCAGCUCGCUGGGACGUAACUGACGCUGAGACGCGAAAGCGUGGGGAGCAAACAGG
rnacentral:rRNA from 1 species